rnacentral:rRNA from 1 species
UGCCAGACUCCUACGGGAGGCAGCAGUGGGGGAUAUUGCACAAUGGGGGGAACCCUGAUGCAGCGACGCCGCGUGAGCGAAGAAGUACCUCGGUAUGUAAAGCUCUAUCAGCAGGGAAGAAAAUGACGGUACCUGACUAAGAAGCCCCGGCUAAAUACGUGCCAGCAGCCGCGGUAAUACGUAUGGGGCAAGCGUUAUCCGGAUUUACUGGGUGUAAAGGGAGCGUAGACGGUUAAGUAAGUCUGGAGUGAAAGGCCGGGGCCCAACCCCGGGACUGCUCUGGAAACUAUUCAACUUGAGUGCAGGAGAGGUAAGCGGAAUUCCUAGUGUAGCGGUGAAAUGCGUAGAUAUUAGGAGGAACACCAGUGGCGAAGGCGGCUUACUGGACUGUAACUGACGUUGAGGCUCGAAAGCGUGGGGAGCAAACAGGAUUAGAUACCCUAGUAAAC